rnacentral:rRNA from 1 species
CAAUAGCGUAUAUUAAAGUUGUUGCGGUUAAAAAGCUCGUAGUUGGAUUUCUGCUGAGAACGACCGGUCCGCCCUUUGGGUGUGUAUCUGGCUCUUUCUUGGCAUCUUCUUGGUGAACGUUGCUGCACUUGACUGUGUGGAGCGCUACCCAGGACUUUUACUUUGAGGAAAUUAGAGUGUUUCAAGCAGGCAUACGCCUUGAAUACAUUAGCAUGGAAUAAUAAGAUAGGACCUCGGUUCUAUUUUGUUGGUUUCUAGAGCUGAGAUAAUGAUUAAUAGGGAUAAUUGGGGGCAUCUGUAUCAACGCGUCAGAGGUGGAAUUCUUGGAUUGCGUUGCGACAAACUACUGCGAAAGCAUUUGCCAAGGAUGUUUUCAUUGA